GAUGAACGCUGGCGGCGUGCCUAAUACAUGCCAGUCGAGCGAACAGACGAGGAGCUUGCUCCUCUGACGUUAGCGGCGGACGGGUGAGUAACACGUGGAUAACCUACCUAUAAGACUGGGAUAACUUCGGGAAACCGGAGCUAAUACCGGAUAACAUGUUGAACCGCAUGGUUCAACAGUGAAAGACGGUCUUGCUGUCACUUAUAGAUGGAUCCGCGCCGCAUUAGCUAGUUGGUAAGGUAACGGCUUACCAAGGCAACGAUGCGUAGCCGACCUGAGAGGGUGAUCGGCCACACUGGAACUGAGACACGGUCCAGACUCCUACGGGAGGCAGCAGUAGGGAAUCUUCCGCAAUGGGCGAAAGCCUGACGGAGCAACGCCGCGUGAGUGAAGAAGGUCUUCGGAUCGUAAAACUCUGUUAUUAGGGAAGAACAAAUGUGUAAGUAACUAUGCACGCCUUGACGGUACCUAAUCAGAAAGCCACGGCUAACUACGUG
rnacentral:rRNA from 1 species